rnacentral:rRNA from 1 species
CUAAUGACUCUCAGCAACGGAUAUCUUGGCUCUUGCAACGAU